ACGCUAGCUACAGGCUUAACACAUGCAAGUCGAGGGGAAACGGCAUUAAGUGCUUGCACUUUUUGGACGUCGACCGGCGCACGGGGGAGUAACGCGGAUCCAACCUUCCCAUGACUAAGGGAUAACCUGCCGAAAGGCAGACUAAUACCUUAUGGUCUUCACUGACGGCAUCAGAUGUGAAGUAAAGAUUUAUCGGUUAUGGAUGGGGAUGCGUCUGAUUAGCUUGUUGGCGGGGUAACGGCCCACCAAGGCAACGAUCAGUAGGGGUUCUGAGAGGAAGGUCCCCCACAUUGGAACUGAGACACGGUCCAAACUCCUACGGGAGGCAGCAGUGAGGAAUAUUGGUCAAUGGGCGAGAGCCUGAACCAGCCAAGUAGCGUGCAGGAUGACGGCCCUAUGGGUUGUAAACUGCUUUUGUAUGGGGAUAAAGUCAAUCACGUGUGAUUGUUUGCAGGUACCAUACGAAUAAGGACCGGCUAAUUCCGUGCCAGCAGCCGCGGUAAUACGGAAGGUCCGGGCGUUAUCCGGAUUUAUUGGGUUUAAAGGGAGCGUAGGCUGGAGAUUAAGUGUGUUGUGAAAUGUAGACGCUCAACGUCUGACUUGCAGCGCAUACUGGUUUCCUUGAGUACGCACAACGUUGGCGGAAUUCGUCGUGUAGCGGUGAAAUGCUUAGAUAUGACGAAGAACUCCGAUUGCGAAGGCAGCUGACGGGAGCGCAACUGACGCUGAAGCUCGAAGGUGCGGGUAUCGAACAGGAUUAGAUACCCUGGUAGUCCGCACAGUAAACGAUGGAUGCCCGCUGUUGGUACCUGGUAUCAGCGGCUAAGCGAAAGCAUUAAGCAUCUCACCUGGGGAGUACGCCGGCAACGGUGAAACUCAAAGGAAUUGACGGGGGCCCGCACAAGCGGAGGAACAUGGUGG
rnacentral:rRNA from 1 species